GUCAGGAGUAGGCAAUUCUAUACUUUUUGUAGUUCCGAGAAGGCCAACUCUAGUGCAUGGUUCAUAAGAUAAAACACUUAGAAUGGCAAUAACAACACCUCUUAGACCACCAAUAGCACCAAAUAGGGCACUAACAUUCCCCAGUUGCGGGAAGAAUCAUGACAACCAACUAUGUUAUCGUGUCACUUGGUCCUAUUUCAAAUGUGGUAGCUAAUAAGAUAUGAUUCGUAAUUACCUACUCAUGAAGGAACAUACUGGAGCUCCUAAACGAGGAGGAGUGUAUACCCUUCCUACAUCGGAUGUUGAAGUAAAUUUGGAC
rnacentral:lncRNA from 1 species